AGCCGAACAAAUGUACUGAAAUCUGAACCAUUGGAUUAAAAGACGAAUAGCUAAACACAAACAAUACCAAUAUAAGAUGAAUUUUGAAGCAUCUUCCAAUUGCCUCUGUUAUUAAUAUCUAUAUGUCUCCAAAAGAAUCUUAUUUCUAGUUUUACUCUCCCUUUUUGUGAUUAACUAUGGUGAGUUGUCCCUAUUUUCCAUCACCAUUCAUCCAAUAUAAAGUAGCAGCAAAAUAUUCCAAAAAACCAGCUUCUUUGGAAACUCCUCAGAUUUCCAAACUUGAGAGCUAUAUAUAUAUAUAUAUAUGUAUAUUUUACUUCAAGAACAACAAUAACAACAACGACGAACCUAGUGUAAUCCCAAAAGUGAGGUCAGGUCCGGGGAGAAUAGUGUGUACGUAGACCUUAUUCCUACUUUGUGAGGGUAGAGGGGUUGUUUCCUGAAAGAACGUUAGGAUGAAAAUUCAAGAAAGAAAGAUGAAAGUAGAAAAAAGAGAGAGUGUUGUAUUAGUGCCAUAUCCAUUCCAGGGGCAUUUAACACCAAUGCUGCAACUUGGUAGUAUUCUUCAUUCUCAAGGCUUUUCUGUUGUAGUCGCGCAUACUGAAUUCAAUGCUCCUGAUUAUUCCAACCACCUUGAAUUCGUCUUCCAUUCUAUGAACGACGGAUUACAGGGACGUGACAUGUCAAUGCCGAGUCUAGAAAGAUUAUUCCAACCACCCUGAAUUCGUCUUCCAUUCUAUGAACGACGGAUUACAGGGACGUGACAUGUCAAUGCCGAGUCUAGAAAAUAUGUAUGAUCUGAACGAGAAUUGUAAGGCGCCCCUUAAAGAUUACCUCGCUAGGAUGAUGGAAGACA
rnacentral:lncRNA from 1 species